rnacentral:rRNA from 1 species
AUAAUACUCCAUAGAUUAGAGACACUGGAAUGUUCUUUAGUCGAAAGUUCUGGCGCCUUAGGAUGGAUCUGCGGUCGAUUAGGUUGUUGUUGGGGUAACGGCCCAACAAGCCUGUAAUCGAUACGGGUUGUGGGAGCAAGAGCCCGGAGAUGGAAUCUGAGACACGAUUCCAGGCCCUACGGGGCGCAGCAGGCGCGAAAACUUUACAAUGCAGGAAACUGUGAUAAGGGAACUCCGAGUGCCCGUAUACGCGGGCUGUCCAGGUGUUUAAAAAUCAUCUGAAGAAAGGGCCGGGCAAGACCGGUGCCAGCCGCCGCGGUAAUACCGGCGGCUCGAGUGGUGGCCACUAUUAUUGGGCUUAAAGCGUCCGUAGCUGGACCGAUAAGUCUCUUGGGAAAUCCGCCGGCUCAACCGGCGGGCGUCUAAGGGAUACUGUUAGUCUAGGGACCGGGAGAGGUGAGAGGUACUCCGGGGGUAGGAGUGAAAUCCUGUAAUCCCCGGGGGACCACCGAUGGCGAAGGCAUCUCACCAGAACGGCUCUGACAGUGAGGGACGAAAGCUGGGGGAGCGAACCGGAUUAGAUACCCGGGUAGUCCCAGCCGUAAACUAUGCGCGUUAGGUGU